rnacentral:lncRNA from 1 species
CAAAGAUGGAACAAUGUGGUUUCUAUGGGAAGGUAUAACUAAAUGAGCUUUAAUGCCAUUUUUGUUUGUUUGUUUAUUUGUUUAUUAACUUGUUCAUUAUUUCCAGUUGUAGAUACUCCUGGGUGUCUGAUCAAUCAUCUCCCCAGACGUGCAAAUGUUACCCCUACCAGGUUUUUGUUAGAGAAAACAUUUUUACUCUGCUGUAGAAGUAAUAAUUACCUGAUCUUAAGUGCAGAAAACAAAGAAAAAGAUGUUGUUUCUGGUUGUUCAUCAAGAAAAUUAAAUGCUGAGGAACGGGAUGUGGGAGAGAAGAGAUGCACAUUGCUACCCAAGAGCAACAGGGGAAACUCACCAACAAAGUAUUCUGCUGCUCCAUCUGGCCUUCAUCCUAAGAGGACACCUAUUCACCCCAGGAAAAUGUUAUUAGGCUAGAGCUAUAAUUCAUAGAAUAAUGCAUUUUUGGAGCACGGUAUAUUGUUUUUCACAAAUGUGCAAAUGUCUUUGAGAUUUUGAAUAAAUUCAGAUUCUGAAUAACUUUUGGAUGCUGU